rnacentral:tRNA from 1 species
GCUUGUGUAGUUCAAUGGAUAGAAUGCUAGCCUCCGAAGUUGGUGAUUCGGGUUCGACUCCCGACACGAGCGCCA